GCGCAUGUGGUGAAAUUGGUAUACACGCCAGAUUUAGGUUCUGGUGCCGCGAGGCGUGGAGGUUCAAGUCCUCUCAUGCGCA
rnacentral:tRNA from 2 species